AGAUUGAACGCUAGCGGGAUGCUUUACACAUGCAAGUCGAACGGCAGCGCGGACUUCGGUCUGGCGGCGAGUGGCGAACGGGUGAGUAAUAUAUCGGAACGUGCCCAGUAGCGGGGGAUAACUACGCGAAAGCGUGGCUAAUACCGCAGUACGCCCUACGGGGGAAAGGGGGGGAUUCUUCGAGAACCUCUCACUAUUGGAGCGGCCGAUAUCGA
rnacentral:rRNA from 1 species